GAGAAGAAGGGUGGUGGCGCUGCCUUAGCAGAGUCGGAGGCGAGGAGGGCGGGGUGCACGGGCGAGGGCGAGGGCGUGCGGGGCAGAAGCGAGGUGGGUUGUUUCCGCCUCUGCCUCCGCUGCCUUCUACGGAGAGAGAAAAAAAAAAGAAUGAGAAAAAAAAAGAGGAGAGAGAAAAAUUAAUAAGUGUAUUUUGGUCAAAAAUUCGGUCUGAAUCUGCAAAAUAAAAAAAAGUGGUCUAUUUUUGUAAAAGCG
rnacentral:lncRNA from 1 species